rnacentral:lncRNA from 1 species
UAAAUUACUUUUUUAAAAGCAAUAUUGCCGGCGCUGAAACUUUAACCAGUAUUUUCUACUCUUUUAAUGACAAAUAAUACAGAAUGGCUGGGAAAAAUCAAUAAUCGAGAGACCACUUUAAUGAUUUUCACUUCCCUCUAAUUCCUCUCUACUCUCUAAAGAUUCCAUCCCUUUGCCAUGCUCACUAAAAUGCCCUCGCUCCCACCAUCGAUAUAUUGUUCCUCCGCUCCAUCAUCGUCUCCCAACGACUUACAGAAUCACAAUUUUUGUUCGCCAGACUCUGUCCAUUCCCUCCCUCAUAGAGUUAUAGAAUCACGCACGCAGUUAUUUGUGGUAUGUUUUCUCAUCUUUGUGAUUUCGUUUGGUAUGUUCGCCAAAUGCAUUUUGGUUAUCUCGAACAUCUCUCUGUUUGAUUUUUCUUCAGUUAGUGCUAUGUGAUUGUUAAAGAUGAAUAUCUAUGCGAAUUUUUAUUACUUUCCAAGUGGAAUCGCAGAACCUAUUCGAUUUUUCAAAGCAACUAGGGUUUAUCAAUUUUAGCUUUUAAUAAUGUCAAUCGCCAAGUCUAGAUAUUUGUCGUGGGAUGAUUAUCUCAGAUGAAGAUUGAAUUGCUAUUGGUUGAAUGAUCCAAGAUCCAAACAUGGAGGUACUAUCCUUUCAUGAACAAAUUAUUAAGCUAUUAUUGGAGUUAUAUGUCAUAUACUUAUUGGAAGUUGCAUCUUUCAUAUUGAGUUAUCCGAAUUCUAGUAUUUGUAAAAGCUAAACUAUACUUUGCUCACUUUGUCAAUUAACACAAAUGAAUUAUUAACUGGGGAAAUGAAUAUAUUCUUCAACAUAAUUGAAAAUGCUGAGUAGUUUUCAAAUGCUACAUAUAGUGAAGUCUCCUGAGCUGGAACAAAAGCCUAUUGAUCAAUAUGUCUUACUGAAAUGUGCCACUUAUGAAAAUGAAUCUCAAAAUUGGGUGGUUCUUACUCCGUUGAAGAGUAAAAUUAAUGUUUGAAUUUGUUUCAUAGAGUGGCUGACCCGGUACAAUUACUGGCUAUUUUUUUAGUUCUUUUUGGUUAGAGUUUGUUUAAAAUAUAAAAUAGUUGGACAUUAAGCUCAAAAUUAUUGUUACAACUUUAAUAUGAACAUGUAUUGCAACUUUCUAUCUCUAAACACUUCCAAGUGAUUUAUAUAUUCUAGAGGGAAAAAUAUAGCUCCAUCUCAUUGAAAUUAGAUAUAAUGAAUUUUUUCACUGUCAUAUGCUUAAGAGAAAAUAAACUACUCAUUUUUUCUUAUACUAAGUUUCUUGCAGCAGCUAAUAUUUUCUUGGUUGUUUGUUAGUUUCUAUCGCUAAUUAAAUAGAUCAAAUUCUUGGUAUGCAAUAGUUAUUUAUAAAAUUCUUGGUAGUUGUAAGUCAAUCUUAUCAAUGACUCGACUAUUUUUUGAAUAUGAUCAUUUUAUUCUGCUCCUUUAGCAUUUUAUUAUUUAAUUCAAGAAACUCUAUAUCUUCUUGUCCCAUAUCUUGCUUGAAGAAAAUUAAGCAUUAUUACUAUUCUGCUCAUUUUCUUCAGUAAACCUCUCCUAAACUAAGUUAGGUGAAUUCUUUUCAGGGAUGACAAUAACUAAAUAAAGUGGAUAGAACUAGAGAGAGAUCAAUUAAGGUUAUGCCUUCUACUUCAAUUGUGCUCAUUUGUCUUGUGUUGAGUUUCUUGAAAAAUGCUUAAUUUUCUUCUCCCAUGAUACUUAAUUUUUCUGUAGUAAAUAGUAAUAAUCUUUUUUAUGCAAACUAUGGCAUUUUAUCUUGAUUUUUAUGAUAAUGUUGACUUGGAAUUUACUUGUCUCCAUUAAGCAACAAUUCAUUUUUUAUCCAUGAAUCUGCAGAUGGGGUAUCACUAUGGUAGGCGCAAAUAUGGAUCCAAUCUUGACAUGCUCUAAUAGGCUUGCUGGUAAGUUCUUGGAGCCUUGGGUACUGCCCGAAGUAUAUACUGAACUGGAGGUAAGAGAUAGUAAACCUGAUGAACUGAAUGAAAGGCUACUGAAUUUGUUGGUUUUAUUCUCAAAUCAUAAUGAACUGGAUUUAAUGAAGGUUACUCUUUUAUAUUUUUCUUCUACAGAGUUGUAAUUUUACGAACCAAAGGGUAAGGAAAGUAAAGAAGGUGGCAAAGCUAGUGAAGGUAGAGAGAUGAAUGUUGAACAUUGGUUCCAUGUUUGCAGGUGCUUGGGUAGCAGCAAUGAGCAGAAUAUGGCGAACUGAUGCCAAAAGAGAGAAGAUUGCAUUGAGUAGGCAUCUUGAAAAGCAUUAGUUAUUUGACAACACAAGUUACUAGACUUAAAAUAAACUAGUUAAUGGAUUCAAAUUGUAUAUUUAUUUCUUUUAUGGUGCUGAAACUCGAAAAUUGUGAAUUUGUCAUUUUUGCUUAUUGUGGAUUUAAUUGAAUGUUAUGCUUUUUAGAAUUAAAAUAAGAGUGGUGUA